rnacentral:rRNA from 1 species
AGAGUUUGAUCAUGGCUCAGAUUGAACGCUGGCGGCAGGCCUAACACAUGCAAGUCGAACGGUAACAGGAAGAAGCUUGCUUCUUUGCUGACGAGUGGCGGACGGGUGAGUAAUGUCUGGGAAACUGCCUGAUGGAGAGGGAUAACUACUGGAAACGGUAGCUAAUACCGCAUAACGUCGCAAGACCAAAGAGGGGGACCUUCGGGCCUCUUGCCAUCGGAUGUGCCCAGAUGGGAUUAGCUAGUAGGUGGGGUAACGGCUCACCUAGGCGACGAUCCCUAGCUGGUCUGAGAGGAUGACCAGCCACACUGGAACUGAGACACGGUCCAGACUCCUACGGGAGGCAGCAGUGGGGAAUAUUGCACAAUGGGCGCAAGCCUGAUGCAGCCAUGCCGCGUGUAUGAAGAAGGCCUUCGGGUUGUAAAGUACUUUCAGCGGGGAGGAAGGGAGUAAAGUUAAUACCUUUGCUCAUUGACGUUACCCGCAGAAGAAGCACCGGCUAACUCCGUGCCAGCAGCCGCGGUAAUACGGAGGGUGCAAGCGUUAAUCGGAAUUACUGGGCGUAAAGCGCACGCAGGCGGUUUGUUAAGUCAGAUGUGAAAUCCCCGGGCUCAACCUGGGAACUGCAUCUGAUACUGGCAAGCUUGAGUCUCGUAGAGGGGGGUAGAAUUCCAGGUGUAGCGGUGAAAUGCGUAGAGAUCUGGAGGAAUACCGGUGGCGAAGGCGGCCCCCUGGACGAAGACUGACGCUCAGGUGCGAAAGCGUGGGGAGCAAACAGGAUUAGAUACCCUGGUAGUCCACGCCGUAAACGAUGUCGACUUGGAGGUUGUGCCCUUGAGGCGUGGCUUCCGGAGCUAACGCGUUAAGUCGACCGCCUGGGGAGUACGGCCGCAAGGUUAAAACUCAAAUGAAUUGACGGGGGCCCGCACAAGCGGUGGAGCAUGUGGUUUAAUUCGAUGCAACGCGAAGAACCUUACCUGGUCUUGACAUCCACAGAACUUUCCAGAGAUGGAUUGGUGCCUUCGGGAACUGUGAGACAGGUGCUGCAUGGCUGUCGUCAGCUCGUGUUGUGAAAUGUUGGGUUAAGUCCCGCAACGAGCGCAACCCUUAUCCUUUGUUGCCAGCGGUCCGGCCGGGAACUCAAAGGAGACUGCCAGUGA